CACGUAGGGCGCGAGCGUUUGUCCGGAAUUAUUGGGCGUAAAGAGCUCGUAGGCGGCCUGUUGCGUCCGCUGUGAAAGCCCGGGGCUUAACCCCGGGUCGGCAGUGGAUACGGGCAGGUUAGAGGUAGGUAGGGGAGAAUGGAAUUCCCGGUGUAGCGGUGAAAUGCGCAGAUAUCGGGAGGAACACCGGUGGCGAAGGCGGUUCUCUGGGCCUUACCUGACGCUGAGGAGCGAAAGCGUGGGGGAGCGAACAGG
rnacentral:rRNA from 1 species